rnacentral:rRNA from 1 species
CCAAUAGCGUAUAUUAAAGUUGUUGCAGUUAAAAAGCUCGUAGUUGAAUUUCGAGAUCAAAUUGUUGGUCGUGCCUUGGUACGUACUGGCAAUAUUGGUUUCUCCCUUCUGACGAACCAAGAUGUCAUUAAUUUGGUGUCUUGGGGAAUCAGGACUGUUACUUUGAAAAAAUUAGAGUGUUUAAAGCAGGCUCGCGCUUGAAUACAUUAGCAUGGAAUAAUGAAAUAGGACGUUUGAUUCUAUUUUGUUGGUUUCUAGGAUCGACGUAAUGAUUAAUAGGGGUAGUUGGGGGCAUUAGUAUUCAAUUGUCAGAGGUGAAAUUCUUGGAUUUAUUGAAGACUAACUACUGCGAAAGCAUUUGCCAAGGAUGUUUUCAUUAAUCAAGAACGAAAGUUAGGGGAUCGAAGACGAUCAGAUACCGUCGUAGUCUUAACCAUAAACUAUGCCGACUAGGGAUCGGAUGAUGUUAAUUUUUUAAUGACUCAUUCGGCGCCUUACG